AAAUGUGUCUGUUAUUCCCCACCUGACCCCAUCACCCCGGCAAAAUGGUAAUGUUAAAAUAUUAUUUUCGUAUUUUGGUUCCACGUUACAUUUCC